CGGAUACAUGUUACCCUAGUGAGCCCGUUAAAAAGACGGUAGCAUUUUGAUAAAGUUUUUAAAACCAUUCUCUCUACUCUGCUAAAAGUUGGGAAUGGUUAUUUUUUUGAUUAUUAUUACUGAUUAGUACUAAACCGAUGAUUGUUAAUACAACCAUCAGCAUUUCAAAAUCAGACAUGCUAGUCCUUUCUAGGAGUAACAACUAUAACCAUAGGCAUCACCCCUUUAUUAAGAGAUUAGCCACCA
rnacentral:sRNA from 1 species